GACGAACGCUGGCGGCGUGCCUAACACAUGCAAGUCGAACGGGGUAAAGACUUCGGUUUUUACUUAGUGGCGAACGGGUGAGUAACGCGUGAGAAACCUGCCUUUCAGUGGGGGACAACAGUUGGAAACGACUGCUAAUACCGCAUAAUGUUAUUUGGGGGCAUCCCUGGAUAACCAAAGAUUUAUUGCUGAAAGAUGGUCUCGCGUCUGAUUAGCUAGUUGGUGAGGUAACGGCUCACCAAGGCGACGAUCAGUAGCCGGUCUGAGAGGAUGAACGGCCACAUUGGGACUGAGAUACGGCCCAGACUCCUACGGGAGGCAGCAGUGGGGAAUAUUGGGCAAUGGGGGAAACCCUGACCCAGCAACGCCGCGUGAAGGAAGAAGGCCUUCGGGUUGUAAACUUCUUUUACCAGGGACGAACAAAUGACGGUACCUGGAGAAAAAGCAACGGCUAACUACGUGCCAGCAGCCGCAGUAAAAC
rnacentral:rRNA from 1 species